UAACCGCUGAAAGCAUCUAAGCGGGAACCCCUCCCCGAAAAGAGGCGGCCGUUGGCUCCUGGCGUUAUGCCGGGGGCCACGAGGGCUCCCGUAGAAGACGGGGUUGAUGGGGCGGGGGUGUAAGCCCCGAGGGGGCUUCCGCCCUCGAGGGGUGAAGCCCGCCGCUCCCAAUCGCCCGAGGCCGUAGGCUG
rnacentral:rRNA from 1 species